rnacentral:rRNA from 1 species
UACGUAGGGGGCAAGCGUUGUCCGGAAUUAUUGGGCGUAAAGAGCGCGUAGGCGGUCCGAUAAGUCGGCUGUGAAAGUCAGGGGCUCAACCCUUGAAAGCCGGCCGAUACUGUCGGACUAGAGUCCGGAAGAGGCAAGUGGAAUUCCCGGUGUAGCGGUGAAAUGCGCAGAUAUCGGGAGGAACACCAAUUGCGAAGGCAGGUCGUCUGGGCCAUAACUGACGCUGAGAGCGAAAGCAUGGGGAGCGAACAGG